rnacentral:misc_RNA from 1 species
UAUAUCUUUUGGAUAUGGUAUCUCUGGAGGAGCAAACAUUUCAAAUGUAUCACGGGAGGAAUGAAAAAACAAAAUCCUGGGCGUCAAAAUCCUGACGUUUGACAAGGACAGGGAGAUUGGCAUUCAAAUCUUCAGAAGCAGAAUCAGAUAGUAGGUUUUUAUAUAUAAAAUUUAGAUCAGAAAAGACAGCACUCCAAGAUUUACGAACUCACCUGAAUCUGAAGAGACAAAUG